rnacentral:misc_RNA from 1 species
ACUUAGCCCAGAUUAAAGUAAAAAGCCCGGAGUCCCUUUGUUUCGGUUUUAUUAGUACUACAAAGUGACUGAAAGAAGCUCUUGUAGUGCUUUAUAAAAACAAACAAAGAUACAAGGACUUGAAACGGAAAGCUGGAAAGAGC